rnacentral:rRNA from 1 species
AGUGGCAGACGGGUGAGUAACACGUAGUCAACCUACCUCAGCGUGGGGGAUAACUAGCCGAAAGGUUAGCUAAUACCGCAUACGAUCGCUAAGUGGCAUCACAUGGCGAUGAAAGGAGCAAUCCGCGCAGAGAGGGGACUGCGUCCCAUUAGUUAGUUGGUGGGGUAACGGCCUACCAAGACUCCGAUGGGUAGCUGGCUUGAGAGAGCGACCAGCCACACUGGAACUGAGACACGGUCCAGACUCCUACGGGAGGCAGCAGUGAGGAAUUUUCCGCAAUGGGGGAAACCCUGACGGAGCGACGCCGCGUGUGGGAAGAAGGCCUUCGGGUCGUAAACCACUGUCGAGGGGGACAUUAUUGACGGUACCCCUGGAGGAAGCCCCGGCUAACUACGUGCCAGCAGCCGCGGUAAGACGUAGGGGGCAAGCGUUGUCCGGAAUUAUUGGGCGUAAGGCGCUCGUAGGUGGAUCGGUAAGUCUGCAAAGAAAGACCCGGGCUCAACUCGGGGAACGGUGUGGA